GCUGUCGUAGUCUAGAGGUUUAAGACGCCGCUCUCCCACCUUAAAAGCGGAGGUCCCGAGUUCGAACCUCGGCGGCAGCA
rnacentral:tRNA from 1 species